rnacentral:lncRNA from 1 species
AAAAUAUCACUCGGCUUGGGUUUAAAAUGUAAUGCUUUUUUUAUCUUUCAGCCCAAGAACUUGCCAGUCAAGAUGAAAAACUUCCUCUAAUGGAAUCCAGCUUGAAAGCAGCUCAAGAGCAGCUAAGUGAGCAAAUAGCAGAAACAGUUCGCCAAGAACAGAACAGUAGAAAAUCACAGACACAGCUGAAGACCCUGAGAGAACGUAUUAUAGCUUCUGAAGAAGAAAUUAGUGAUUACAAGGGCUGCUUCUAAGCAAGACACUGCCAAAUUAAAGGAAAUUUGGUGUUUGAACUUUUAGCCACAACAGCAAGGCACAUAUGAGGUUGCUAACAUAAACUAGUAGAAAAAAUGCAUACUGUACUUUAGAAAAGUUUACACUGAUAAAAGUACCUCUGUUCUUAUGAGACCAAUUUAGUGUCUAUUUGAUUAAAUAUUAACUCUGCAAAUUUAAUUAAAAAGUGCUAAUCUUCAGCAACUAUGUUUUUUUCAUAAAUUAGCAAACUUUUAGUGUAUUUUUAUAUUGAGC